rnacentral:rRNA from 1 species
UACGAAGGGGGCUAGCGUUGUUCGGAAUUACUGGGCGUAAAGGGCGCGUAGGCGGUGUGUCAAGUCAGGCGUGAAAGCCCCGGGCUCAACCUGGGAACAGCGCUUGAGACUGGCACGCUCGAGUUCGGGAGAGGAUGGUGGAAUUCCCAGUGUAGAGGUGAAAUUCGUAGAUAUUCGGAAGAACACCAGUGGCGAAGGCGACUUACUGGACACAUAUUGACGCUGAGGUGCGAAAGCGUGGGGAGCAAACAGG